GACGAACGCUGGCGGCGUGCCUAAUACAUGCAAGUAGAACGCUGAAGGAGGAGCUUGCUUCUCCGGAUGAGUUGCGAACGGGUGAGUAACGCGUAGGUAACCUGCCUGGUAGCGGGGGAUAACUAUUGGAAACGAUAGCUAAUACCGCAUAAGAGUAGAUGUCGCAUGACAUUUGCUUAAAAGGUGCAACUGCACCACUACCAGAUGGACCUGCGUUGUAUUAGCUAGUUGGUGAGGUAACGGCUCACCAAGGCAACGAUACAUAGCCGACCUGAGAGGGGGAUCGGCCACACUGGGACUGAGACACGGCCCAGACUCCUACGGGAGGCAGCAGUGGGGAAUCUUCGGCAAUGGGCGGAAGUCUGACCGAGCAACGCCGCGUGGGUGAAGAAGGUCUUCGGAUCGUAAAGCUCUGUUGUAGGAGAAGAACGAGUGUGAGAGUGGAAAGUCCAGACUGUGCCGGAAUCUUACAAGAAGGGGACGGCAACCUCCUU
rnacentral:rRNA from 1 species